UACGCGUACACAUUGCUGCACAUCUGAGCAUUUUUGCGAACAUCCUUUUGUUGGUUUGGGUUAUCUUAUUUGAGAUUUGACUGGUAGCUAAUGGCUAGUGCUCAUCCUGGUGUUCCUGUUGUUAGCGCUGACCUUGACUGUUCGACCUCAUCAAAAUAUAGCGAAGCCGUGAUAGUUGUCAGAAACAAACUUCUAUCUUUGUAUCGCUUGAUUGAUUUGAACAGUUGGUCUGAUGGAAUAUAUGGACACACCAGUUGUAUGUAACAGUAUCACUCGUUGUUAUGUAAUUGAUUGAUCAACCGAUGCAUCAUGCACACACAGUUGGGUGAGGUAGUCUAUCACAAAUACGAGGGCAUUGUAGUUGCACAGAAUGAAAGGGAAGAGUUGGCUCAAGAUUUAGGAGAACAAAGCAAAAUCCUGAUGCUUCAGAAUCAUGGAUUUGUUGCUCUUGGCAGUACAACUGAGGAAGCCUUUAGCCGGUUACGAUUGUUGGUGAAUGCAUGUAAAUCCCAGGUGGAUGUUUUGGCUGCACGCUUGGAGAACAUAAUUUUACCUGGUGUGGAUUACCAAACUGCUGUUGCUGCCGGUAUAGUUGGUAGCAAUGACUUUAACUGGGGACGCGGUGAACUUGAGUGGGAUGCUGAAAUGAGAAAACUUGAUUUGGAGGUAACCUUGAUGGUGGUAUGGCGCUAGGCAUACAUACAGUGCACUUGAUUGACAUGGUUGCAAAAUGGAGGGUACUUUUGUCGAGUCACUCAGAACGUUGUUUUCUUUGGAAAUGUUGAGAGAGAUCGAAGAUUUGCCGCUUGCAUCUAUCUUACCCGUUCCCGGCCAAUUGGUCUUCUUGCAAAUUCUCCUUAAAGCCCAUGUACAGACGGCUCUACUACUGGCGGUACAAUUAAUUAAACAUUGUGUGGCUUUUAAAAUUAGUAGAGUCGAUAUAUAAAUAUUAAAUAAUUAAUUCGAAUCAGAGGUCUGGUCUAGAAUGAAAUCCUUAGACGAAUCUGUGGGAGUGAAGGACGGACUCUCUAGAGCACGUGAUGUGGCCACGUCUUUUUCCAAAUACGAUAUCUGAAUGAAAUAUCUUUCGCCGAUCUGGCCCAGUGGGUGAAAUAACAUGAUUAUUAGCUAAUGGUGUGCUUUGUUUGUGCAAAAACGAGUCAUCGAACCCCAAGUGUUGUGAUGAGAGCUCGUUUGAGAGAAACAACUCGUUACG